CGCUCUCUGUCGGCGAUGUUACUUUGAGGAAAUCAGAGUGCUCAAAGCAAGCGUUCGCUCGUGACUUCACUAGCAUGGAAUAACACAGAUGGGCUCUUUUUCGCAACGUUGGUCUGCGUCAACUGAGCAACGAUCGAUAGAGACGGUCGGGGGCAUUCGUAUUGCGCAGUUAGAGGUGAAAUUCUCCGAUCUGCGCAAGACGCACUAAUGCGAAAGCAGUUGCCAAGGACGUUCUCUUAUGAUCAAGAGCGAAAGUCGGGGGAUCAAAGAUGAUUAGAUACCGUCGUAGUCCCGACCAUAAAUGAUGCCAACUGAGCGUCGGCGACGCGGCUGUCAGCCGGACGUCGGCGCUCUUGAGAGAAAUUAAAGUCUUUGGGCUCCGGGGGUAGUAUGGUCGCAAGUCUGAAACUUGAAGGAAUUGACGGAAGGGCACCACAAGGCGUGGAUGUUGCGGCUUAAUUUGACUCAACACGGGAAAGCUUACUAGGUUUGGACACUUGAAUGAGGGACAUAUUGAAGCUCUUACCUUUUUUUGUGGAUGGUGGUGCAUGGUCGUUCUCAGCCCGUGGGUUGACCUGUCAGGUUUACUCCGGUAACGCGCGAGACCUCGGUUUGCUAAAUAGACACGGCUGUUUCUGCACCCGUGCUCUUCUUAGAGAGAGUCUUGACGAGAGUUGAGGGAAGUCGAGGCAAUAACAGAUCUGUGAUGCCCUUAGUUAUCCUAGGUCGCACGCGCCAUACAAUGUGGCGCACAACGAGUCUCCUAGGCCGACAGGAAUUCUCGUCGAUGGCAGAUGCAUUGGUCCCGUAAGUUGGCGCAUCUACUUUUCGAAGUGGAUCGCCGAUAUGCGGUCGAUCGAGCGACGCUGUCGCGAGAACCACUGGGCAAUCUUGCAGAGCGCUACGUGACUGGGCUAGACUUUUGUAAUUGUUGGUCUUGAACGAGGAAUGCCUAGUAAUCGCAGGUCAUUAUCCUGAGAUGAUUCGGUCCCUGCCCUUUGUACACACCGCCCGUCGCUCCAUCCGUGGCAUGCGCCGGUGAAGAGGGGGAGGCAGCGUC
rnacentral:rRNA from 1 species